UACGUAGGGGGCAAGCGUUAUCCGGAUUUACUGGGUGUAAAGGGUGCGUAGGCGGCCUGCUAAGUCUGGAGUGAAAGGUACCGGCUCAACCGGUACAGGCUCUGGAAACUGGCGGGCUAGAGAGCAGGAGAGGGCGGUGGAACUCCAUGUGUAGCGGUAAAAUGCGUAGAGAUCAAGAGGAAUACUCAUUGCGAAGGCGACCUGCUAGAACAUAACUGACGCUGAUGCGCGAAAGCGUGGGGAGCAAACAGG
rnacentral:rRNA from 1 species